rnacentral:sRNA from 1 species
AGGUUAGGGAUUGAAACAUUAAUUUUAUAACCCUAACCCUAAUUGCAACCAGGGGCCUCAACUUAUCUAAUUUGCAGGAGAGGCCCCCGCCCCCCCAAAAAUCAAAAAAAAAAAAAAAAAAAAAACUGAAAGUUUUCUUCUCUUUCUUUCCUUAUGGCGGCGGCGCACGCCGGCGCCGCCCCUUACAGAUUGGAGCGCCGUUCUUGGCCGCGCCCGGCGCUGCUACAGCAGCGCCGGGCGCUGCAGUGCUGCAGCAGCUUCGCGCUGCUGCCCGGCAGCUGGCGCUGCCGCCGCCGCCGGCAGUUGCCGGUUGUGCCGUAUAUAUAU